UAAACAAACUUUGACAUAUUGUCAUCAUGGUCUUCUUGUUUUAAUUAAUGAUCAUGCAUUUUCCAUGUGAUUAUUUGCUACUAAAUGUUGGUACUUGGUAACAAGCCUGGCAUGAGGUGAUUUUGGAUUAGAUUUCAUAAAAUUUGAAAUUUCGGUCUCCAUAAAAUGUAGAAAACCUCCCUUACCAUCUUCAUUUUAGGAUUUUUGGUAACAUUAAAAUUAAAAUUAGUGAGUUAAGUGUCUUUUCAAUUAUAAAGUAGUGGAACUUCAAGAACUUAGAUGUGCUAAUCCUCCAAGUAGACCUGCAAGA
rnacentral:misc_RNA from 1 species